rnacentral:tRNA from 1 species
GUCGUCGUAGCUUACUGUUAAAGCGCCCGCUCGUAAACGGGAGAGUGUAGGUUCAAUUCCUACAGGCGACA